UUUGGUUGAGCCGACGUGGGAAGAGGGACGCUACCUCCGGGAGCCGGGGCGGGGCCGCCCGGGAUUGUGGGAAUGUGGCGGACCCGGAGGCCCGUGGGGCGGCGCUCCGGCCGCGUCGGGCCGCCGCUGCGGCGGAGGGGCGUGCGGGGGACGGCCAGACGCAGCCUUCCCGGGAUACCCUGGCGGCGCCUGACCGGAACCCAGCUCUGCACCCACCCCAUUCCGCUAAAAUGGGUGCAGGGGAGCAUGCAUGGGAGCAUGCAUUCUGCUAACAUGGACGCAUGCAUUCCGCUAACAUGGAAGCAUGCCUUCCGCUAACAUGGGAGCGUGCCUUCUGCUAACAUGGGAGCGUGCCUUCUGCUAACACGGAACACGCGUGGGAACAUGCAUGGGACGCCUCCCAUAUACCGGGCCGUGGGCAUCAAUGAAGUGGCGGCUGUGUGCCAGGGGUCACGCCUGGCGGUGCCUGGGAUCAAUCCUGAGUCUCCUGGGCAGGGUCCAGCAAACCUUCGCGUGCUGGGCAGAGAAGUGCACAGAGUUCACCCAAGGGGAAGUUCGGGGAGACCUGGGGCGCAGGGACAAAACCCAGCCCUCAGCCCUACCAGCCAGAAACAGAAAGUGCAGAAAGCCCACAGGUGUCUGGUGAGCCUGAGUUACAAGUGGAGAGACCCAAGUGAUAGCACAGUGGGGAGGACAUCUGCCUUGCAGACGGCUGACCGGGUCAGUUCACAGCAGCCCGCGGGGUCCCAGAGCACCGUCAGGAGUGACCUCUGAGUGCAGAGCCAGGUGUCAGCCCUAAACACGGCCGGGGGUGACCCAAAAACCAGAAAAAAGAAGAAGAAGGAGAAGUCACUUGGGUACUUGCCCUGUGACCUAUGACCUCUGUGCCCUCUUUAUUCCUGGAUAUUUAUUGCUCCGCUGAAAUAAAGAUGCAAGACACGGAGAUUUGUAUGGGGAUGUUUAAAGCGGUCUUAUUUGCUUGAUAAAUCGGUUUUGAUUUUUUUGGGCCACACCCAAAAAAGUGCUCAAACCUUCCUCCUGACUGCACUCGGGGGUCACUCCUGGUGGGACCCUAUGGGUGCUGGGGUUUGAGUGAACCUGGGUCAGUUGCCAACACCUUCCCUGCUGUCUUACCGCUCCAGAUCACCAGCAUUAUUUUACUUUUAUUAUUAUUAAUUUUUGCUUUUUGUGUCGCACCCAGUGAUGCACAGAGCUUACUCCUGGCUUUGCACUCAGAAAUUACUCCUGGCAGUGCUCAGGGGACCCUAUGGGAUGCUGGGAAUCGAACCCAGGUCAGCUGCGUGCAAGGCAAACGCCCUCCCUCUGAAUUAUCGCUCUGGCCCUCACCUGCAUCAUUUUAAUGAGCUGGUUCUCCUCCUGAACGCCCAGGCAGGCUGUGUGACUUUACAGGGUGGCUAGCCCUCUCUGAACCUCCUUUUCUUCAAAUAUUUUGUUUUAUUGUUGUUGUUUUGUGGCCACAUGCUCAGGGCCGACUCCUGAUUCUGUUCAGAACUCACUCCUAGCAGUGGUUAAGGGGCCCUCUGAGGUGCCAGGGAUCGAACCCGGGUCCGCUGCAUGCAAGGCAAGUGCCCUUCCUAGCACAGUAUGGCUCCAGCUCCAGUAGUUUUUUC